CAGUCGCCGCGGUAAAACGUAGGGUCCGAGCGUUGUCCGGAAUUAUUGGGCGUAAAGAGCUCGUAGGCGGUCUGUCGCGUCUGCCGUGAAAUCCUCAGGCUCAACCUGAGGCGUGCGGUGGGUACGGGCAGGCUAGAGUGCGGUAGGGGAGAAUGGAACUCCUGGUGUAGCGGUGGAAUGCGCAGAUAUCAGGAAGAACACCGAUGGCGAAGGCAGUUCUCUGGGCCGUAACUGACGCUGAGGAGCGAAAGCGUGGGGAGCGAACAGGAUUAGAGACCCCUGUAGUCCCUGUCUCUUAUAC
rnacentral:rRNA from 1 species